rnacentral:tRNA from 1 species
GGGCCUGUAGCGCAGUUUGGAUAGCGUGGCAGCCUCCUAAGCUGUAAGUCGGGGGUUCAAAUCCCUCCAGGCCCGCCA